rnacentral:lncRNA from 1 species
UUGAGAAUGAAGGAUCCUAACGUGGAGAUAUGGAGAAAUCCUCUCUCAAAGCUCCAAGCUUCAAAACUUGGUUAUUUUGCUCAACUCUUCAAAACAACAACAAAACUCUUAAAACCUUUGAAGGAUUUAGUGAAAAACAUGAAAAUCAUCAAAGUCAACUUGGGAAGGGUUUUGGCUCACCUCUGGCUGCAAGUGGAGGAGAAAAUAUCCUCCUUCCACCGACCCUUGGCCCUUUUAUAGGUGGCUG